UGUGAGGGCGAUCUGGCUGCGACAUCUGUCACCCCAUUGAUCGCCAGGGUUGAUUCGGCUGAUCUGGCUGGCUAGGCGGGUGUCCCCCUCCUCCCUCACCGAUCCAUGUGCGUCCCUCCCGAAGCUGCACGCUCGGUCGAAGAGGAUGACCUCCCGCCCCCGAGGAGAGGACCAGCCUUCGGUCAAGGGUAUAUGAGUAGCUGCGCUCCCCUGCUAGAACCUCCAAACAAGCUCUCGAGAAAGCCAUCCCCUCCUCACCUCCAUCCCUCCCAGAGGCUGUGCGUCUAU
rnacentral:snRNA from 1 species